UUGACUCUUAGCUCUGUUUGGUCGGACAACUUCAUUUUUUUUUCUUUUGGUAGAAAAUACUUAUAACACCAAGUUUCUCGAAUUUCGGUCGAAACUGGUUGCAACAUACUUAGGUGUAUGCCCAGUAAAUCGAAAUUUUACUAUCUUUAAGACAUAAUUCAUGCAAACAAUUUUUCGAGCUCAGACUGACAAUAUUUCUGCCGCGCGCGUGGAAAAAUUCCUUAAAUUGAUUUUCGAAGAAAAUUUUGGCCUACUUUAUGAUUAUCAAUGGCAAAGUAUUUCUUACGGGACCUCUAAUCAAGAUGAAAAAAAAUUAGUAUCUAGGAAUGCCAUUUUCCCCAGUAUUGUCUCCCAUGCAUUCGGCAAAAAUUCAAAUAAGAGAUAGAGGUAAAAAUAACACUAAUAUGCUAAAAUGUAAUACUAAAAUAAAUCCAAAGUUAUGGAAGCUCGAUUAUCCCCUCUAAGUAUCACUUGCCUAACCGUCAGGGGCUGUCGGCGGAUGUUCAUUCCUAAAAAUUCAAAUGAGAGAUAGAGAUAAAAAUAACAGUAAUAUGCUAAAAUAUAAUGCUAAAAUAAAUCCAAAGUUAUGGAAGCUCGAUUAUCCCCUCUAUGUAUCACUUGCCUAACCGUCAGGGGCUGUCGGCGGAUGUUCAUUCCAUGCUAUAUUACGAUAGAAGGUUAUGGACUGAAUGGGAUGGGGCUCUUUUAACUAAGCGCAGUAUUACCCAUUCGUGGGUAUUCGAAGAAAAAAACCACCCGGACACUCCUCCGAGCCAAUACAUUAUCAUGUUUAAAGAUGUUUAAUUUGAAUUAUACUUUGCAAUCAUUAGUGAGCAUCACUUCCCGCUAAUUCAUAUAAAUAAUCUAUUUAAAUAGGGGGGCUAAUGAGACGCACGUUAUUUUCAAAAGGAGCCAGAAAUGGAUUGCAUUUUGCAAUAAGGAACCACUAUCUCUGGCUCUCCCAUAAAAGCACAUAUCUGCAUAGGGAAACCAAUGGCAUGUAUGUUGUUUCUAAAGUGGGCCAGAAAUAAUGGUUCCUUAUUGCAAAAUGUAAUCCAAAUAGUAGUUCCUAUUCCCAAAAUUAAGUCCAAUUCGCAGCUUUACUCUUCUGCCUUCUUUAGGGAAAACAUCGGCUGAGCCCGUGGAUGUUGCCAAAUUUCUCCCGAUAAAAUACAAAAUUUCAAGGAAACUUGUUUUUCUUCCAAUUUAUCAAAAAACUGCCUAUCGCAGAACAAUCACGCUUUAUUCUACUUUUUCUGAUUAAAAAAAAAAAAAAAAAAAAAAAAAAAAUUGAUAACCUUCCUUAAAGAUGUAUGUAGCAGAGGGGGAGUUUUGGCAGCAUUUGGUUGUUCAUGCGACUAUUUACUAAACUCCGCUGCAGCGUUGUACAUCGUGUAUUAACAAAACACAAAACAAAACAGUUAUCAACUUCGAGUAAUCGUAUUAGAUUAAAAAUUAUGAAUGAAUCAAAUUCAAACCUACUAAAAUCCCUAUAUCUUCAAAAUCACUGAUGCCCCAGAACUUUACAUGUUUAAGUGGGAUUUUUUAUUUCAUCCAUUAGAUAUACAAUUCGAAUACAGGGGAAAGCUAAAAAGAUUAAAAUUACUAAAGGUAAGAUUUCCAAAAAGACUCUAUAAUUUGAUUAUCUAAAUUAUAACAUUUAAUUAAGGAUUGUUAGUAUUAUUAAGUAUUAGAUUAUUAAGUACCGUUAUUCUUCUCGGUCUCUGGGUUUCAUGCCAAACAUCCUCAUCGCCGCAACGUUUCCAGCCCUUUUUCCCCAUCUCUUCGCGUGUGCUUACGGGAGUUUCAACCGGAUUUCAUCUCGACCAUUCGUUGAAUUUUUAUCCUAGCGAAGCAACUGGAUUGAAUUACAUUUAUUGCGUUGUUGUGCACUGUCUUAAUUCGACUGAAAUUUUCCUCAACUUUUUGACAUCGUGAUUCUGCACGAUUUAUCUAACCUGCACAAUAAUAAUGCUCAUUGGUAUUUCUCAAAAGCGGAAGUGGGUCUCGUCACUCCAUGCCGCAUCAUAAUUUUUGAAUUUUUAGUGAUUAUUUCCUCACUUAAAAUCUAAAACAGAAAUCAGAAUCGCAUAAUUAUGCCCACGCUAAAGUGCUGUCAAAUUAUUGCCUCAUCGAUUUCGCCCAAAAGUUGAUUGUCAAAUGAAAAAUGCGUCAAAAACUUUCAAUAAACGAAUCCUGGAGUAGAUACUUUCCGUUGUCCAACUCGAAGAAGUAAUGAUGGCCAUAAGAUCAGAUUCUUUCAUAUACACACGAAAUACGUUUUAUACACUAUUUUUGUGAGAAUCACAAGGAUAUUCGGUUGGCUGAAUUUCUCCCCAAAUCAAGUGAAAUUCUGUUCAAGUUAAAGUCAAACUGUCGUGCAAAACAUUGAAGUGGUGAAGAAUUCACAAACCAGUGAAAAUAUCCUGUUGAGUUAGCACGUCAUUGCCGGAAACUGUACUAUUCGACGGUAAGCGCCAUGGGAUUGGCGCAUCUUCGCGUUCGAAGAUGCAGUGCUUGAAGUAUUCACAUGUUUUUGCAGGCGCUCUAAGCGGUCCGUGCUAAGUAUACUGAUUUAACCUCGUUGAUGAAACAAUUAGCACAUCUUUGCGUUCAAUGAUGUAUUGUUUGAAGUAUUCGCACGAUAUUGCAAGCACUCCUAACGGUCCAUGGUGACUUAACUUCCUCGGUUUUUUACGUGACUGUUCGAAAUCACGGUAACCGCAGUUCUAGACUGUGUCGACAUUCGAAGAUAGGACAAGCCCCGAGCAUAAUCUUGAGAAUGGUCCUGUUUCCAUCAAAUUGCUGAGGGUGCAUUUCUCGAGGCACUCAAGUCUGGAGACAACACCUCAGUCGAUUGUUAUCUCUGAUACGUUGGUUCAGCACUCAAUAUU
rnacentral:lncRNA from 1 species